rnacentral:rRNA from 1 species
UUCCGGUUGAUCCUGCCGGACCUGACUGCUAUCGGAUUGAUACUAAGCCAUGCGAGUCUUUGCAGUAAUGCAAGGCAUACGGCUCAGUAACACGUAGUCAACUUACCCUAUGGACGAGGAUAAUCUCGGGAAACUGAGCAUAAUACUCGAUAGAUCAUAAUGCCUGGAAUGGUUUAUGGUUGAAAUGAUUCGUCGCCAUAGGAUGGGACUGCGGCCUAUCAGCUUGUUGGUGAGGUAAUGGCCCACCAAGGCGAUUACAGGUACGGGCUCUGAGAGGAGAAGCCCGGAGAUGGGUACUGAGACAAGGACCCAGGCCCUAUGGGGCGCAGCAGGCGAGAAAACUUUGCAAUGUGCGAAAGCACGACAAGGUUAAUCCGAGUGAUUUCUGCUAAAGAAAUCUUUUGCAAGUCAUAAAACCACUAGUGAAUAAGGGGUGGGCAAGUUCUGGUGUCAGCCGCCGCGGUAAAACCAGCACCUCAAGUGGUCAGGAGGAUUAUUGGGCCUAAAGCAUCCGUAGCCGGCUCUGUAAGUUUUCGGUUAAAUUCAUGUGCUCAACGCAUGAGCCGCCGAAAAUACUACAUAGCUAGGGAGUGGGAGAGGUAGACGGUACUCAGUAGGAAGGGGUAAAAUCCUUUGAUCUAUUGAUGACCACCUGUGGCGAAGGCGGUCUACC